rnacentral:misc_RNA from 1 species
UGCUUGUGGCACACCAAACUAUGUCGCGCCUGAGGUGCUAACUGACAAAGGCUAUGAUGGUACAACAACUGAUGUCUGGUCCUGUGGAGUCAUUCUCUUUGUUCUAAUGGCUGGAUACUUACCUUUUGAUGAGCCAAACCUAAAUGCUCUAUACCGAAAAAUCCUGAAGGCUACGUUUUCACUUCCACCAUGGUUGUCCUCCAGCUCAAAGAAUCUGAUCAACCGUAUUCUUGACCCGGAUCCACUCACAAGGAUCACUAUUCCAGAGAUCCUCGAAGAUGAGUGGUUCAAGA